CACAUGGUCAGUACUGUUGAAAACAUCGUGAAAAGUUUAAAGCGUAAAAUUAUUUAAAUUCCACGAAUACUUGUAAGCUUAUCGAAAAUAACGAUGUUAAUAAUCACUUAAAUGAAAAUUAAAUAUUCUAUUUUCUACAACCAUCAAGUUUAUAAAAAGUGGAAGAUAUUUGUGGAAAAUAUUUCGUACAAUUAGUGUAUCAGUGUUGAAAACGAAUACGAACCAAAUAUUAAUCUGUUAAAAUAGCUGGAACUAAUUUGAAACAUUACAUCGCUUAUAAAAUAAUGCGACGUAGCAUGUUGUAUCCAGAGUAACCUCUGUCUAGGACUGUGUAUACAUAUCCAUACAUGUUACCGAAACUCGUCAAACUUUAAAUCUAGUCAGACAAGGCCGUAAAGAGAGCGAGAACGGUACCUGUGAACUUCUACCUAUUAUCUCGCGAAUACUAAAUUUUCAACGAAAUUCGAUUAAGAACAACUUGCAGGAAUCGCUAGGACAAUCGAAACGAACGAGGACAUGGAAAAACGGCGGUAAACGCGACCAGACGGACGAUCAAGUGGUUGAACGAUACGUAAUUCAAGAUUUCGUGGAUAAGAACGCAAACCCGACACUCGAUAACGAUGCCCAUGAGAAUGAGUCAACCGUUAAGGAGUAGACAUCGACAUGAAGGAUUAAAGAGGAGCCGUUCGAGUUCAAGCUGGCCGCCAACGUUUAAUCAACGAACCAAUGGUCCAAAAAAUGUAGACAUCGAUUAAACGUAUCGCGUAUUAAAUUUAUUUAA